rnacentral:rRNA from 1 species
UACGUAGGGACCAAGCGUUGUCCGGAAUCAUUGGGCGUAAAGCGCGCGUAGGUGGCCAUUUAAGUCCGCUGUGAAAGUCAAAGGCUCAACCUUUGAAAGCCGGUGGAUACUGGAUGGCUAGAGUACGGAAGAGGCGAGUGGAAUUCCUGGUGUAGCGGUGGAAUGCGCAGAUAUCAGGAGGAACACCAAUAGCGAAGGCAGCUCGCUGGGACGGUACUGACGCUGAGACGCGAAAGCUAGGGGAGCAAACAGG